UCCUGGCAGAGCUGAAAGUCCUAUUGGUGUGGGGUGUACUGAUUUCAGCAUCUCAAAGUCUCACACAGGCACUCUGAGUUCUUGCUUAUCAGAACAAACAGAAGCCUCCCUUGUCAUGCUGACAUCAUGAGAUUUUCCUGGGAUCAAAGGUCAGGUGAUGAUAUGACCACAGAAACUCUGCAGACAGACAGUCAAACCUCCUGUGGUAUAAAGCUGCAAAUAAAUGCAAGGGUGAUUCUUCUGACACUUUCUGAAUGGCAAAGUCUGCAACUGGGGCUUUUGCAGCAUCUUUACAUUUCCGAGAGAAAAAUCAGUUUGGAAGCACAGUGAUGGAAUACUCUUCUUGUGUGGUUGCACCCACUACCUGUCUGCACUCCUGAGCUGGUUUUGCUGAUCACCCCUGAAUCUUCUCAUGUCAUGAACAAAGUUCAGAAGUGGACCCACAAGAACCUCAUGAAGUUUAGCGAGUCCAAGUGUAAGGUACUGCACCUGGAUGGGAGCAAUCUCAGCUGGGAGCACGCACUGGGAGGUAACUCAUUGAGAGCAGCCCUGCAGGGAAGAGUUUGGGGGUUCUCGUGGAUGAACAGCUGGAUGUGCCACAGCAGUGUGCAUUUGCAGCCCAGAAUGCCAUCCUGGACUGUGC